AGGUUAAGCUACUAAGGGCGCACGGUGGAUGCCUUGGCACUAGAAGCCUAAGAAGGACGGGACGAACACCGAUAUGCUUCGGGGAGCUGUAAGUACGCUUUGAUCCGGAGAUUUCCGAAUGGGGGAACCCACCAUCUUUAAUAGGAUGGUAUCCAUUUCUGAAUACAUAGGGAAUGGAAGGCAGACCCGGGGAACUGAAACAUCUCAUUACCCGGAGGAAGAGAAAGCAAACGCGAUUUCCUGAGUAGCGGCGAGCGAAACGGAAUCAGCCCAAACCAGAGGGCUUGCCCUCUGGGGUUGUAGGACGUCUCUUUGGAGUUACAAAGGCACGGAUAGACGAAGCGACCUGGAAAGGUCCAUCAGAGAAGGUAACAAUCCUGUAGUCAAAAUCCGCUGCCCUCCGAGACGGAUCCUGAGUACGGCGGGACACGUGAAACCCCGUCGGAAUCUGGGAGGACCAUCUCCCAAGGCUAAAUACUCUCUAGUGACCGAUAGUGAACCAGUACCGUGAGGGAAAGGUGAAAAGCACCCCGGAAGGGGAGUGAAAGAGAACCUGAAACCGUGUGCCUACAACUAGUUGGAGCCCGUUAAUGGGUGACAGCGUGCCUUUUGUAGAAUGAACCGGCGAGUUACGAUCCCGUGCAAGGUUAAGCUGAUAAGGCGGAGCCGCAGCGAAAGCGAGUCUGAAUAGGGCGAAAUAGUACGUGGUCGUAGACCCGAAACCAGGUGAUCUACCCAUGUCCAGGGUGAAGUUCAGGUAACACUGAAUGGAGGCCCGAACCCACGCAUGUUGAAAAAUGCGGGGAUGAGGUGUGGGUAGCGGUGAAAUGCCAAUCGAACCUGGAGAUAGCUGGUUCUCUCCGAAAUAGCUUUAGGGCUAGCCUCGCGGCAAGAAUCUUGGAGGUAGAGCACUGAUUGGACUAGGGGUCCUUACCGGAUUACCGAAUCCAGUCAAACUCCGAAUGCCAACGAUUUAUCCGCGGGAGUCAGACUGCGAGUGAUAAGAUCCGUAGUCGAGAGGGAAACAGCCCAGACCACCAGCUAAGGUCCCAAAGUAUACGUUAAGUGGAAAAGGAUGUGGCGUUGCUUAGACAACCAGGAUGUUGGCUUAGAAGCAGCCAUCAUUUAAAGAGUGCGUAAUAGCUCACUGGUCGAGUGACGCUGCGCCGAAAAUGUACCGGGGCUAAACGUAUCACCGAAGCUGUGGAUUGUCUUACGACAAUGGUAGGAGAGCGUUCUAAGGGCUGUGAAGUCAGACCGAAAGGACUGGUGGAGCGCUUAGAAGUGAGAAUGCCGGUAUGAGUAGCGAAAGACAAGUGAGAAUCUUGUCCGUCGAAAGCCCAAGGUUUCCUGAGGAAGGCUCGUCCGCUCAGGGUUAGUCGGGACCUAAGCCGAGGCCGAAAGGCGUAGGCGAUGGAUAACAGGUUGAUAUUCCUGUACCACCUCCUUUCCGUUUGAACGACGGGGGGACGCAGAAAGAUAGGGUGAGCGCGCUGCUGGAAAUGCGCGUCCAAGCGAUUAGGCUGGUGAAUAGGUAAAUCCGUUCACCG
rnacentral:rRNA from 2 species